rnacentral:rRNA from 1 species
AAAAGUAUGUAAGGGCACAUGGCGGAUGCCUAGGCUCACAGAGGCGAUGAAGGACGUGAUAAGCUGCGAUAAGCCGCGCGUAGGUGCACAUAGCCGUUGAUGCGCGGAUUUCCGAAUGGGGCAACCCGCACGGGUGAAGCCUGUGCAUGUCCGUUUUUUUGGCGGACAGGCGAACGCAGGGAACUGAAACAUCUUAGUACCUGCAGGAAGAGAAAAUAACAAUGAUUCCCCCAGUAGUGGCGAGCGACCGGGGAAUAGCCCAAACCUGUUCUGUACGUUGUGCAUUUCAGGGGUUGUAGGAGCACUUUAAUUGGACAGUUGCAUCAAGGAGAACUGCCUGGAACGGCAGACCGUAGUGGAUGAGAGUUCCGUAUCCGCAAAUUGCGACCGUCCCUGUGUCAUCCUGAGUAGCGCGGGACACGUGUAAUCCUGUGUGAAUCUGCCGGGCCCAUCCGGCAAGGCUAAAUACUCCUGUGAGACCGAUAGUGAACCAGUACCGUGAGGGAAAGGUGAAAAGCACUCCGACGAGGAGAGUGAAAUAGUUCCUGAAACCAUGUGCCUACAAGCUGUCGGAGCCAUAUUUUUUUAUGGUGACGGCGUGCCUUUUGCAUAAUGAACCUACGAGUUGCCGUCACUGGCGAGGUUAAGCGGUUCAUCCGCGUAUCCGCAGUGCAAGCGAGCCUUAAACGGGCGUAUAGUCAGUGGAGGCAGACGCGAAACCGAGUGAUCUACACAUGGCCAGGGUGAAGUUCCGGUAACACGGAAUGGAGGCCCGCACCGAUAAGCGUUGAAAAGCUUCCGGAUGAGCUGUGUGUAGGAGUGAAAGGCCAAUCAAACUCGGAGAUAGCUCGUACUCCCCGAAAGGCAUUUAGGUGCCGCGUCAUGUUUGGUCUGUGAGAGGUAGAGCGACCGAUAGGUCAAGAGGGCUUCACCGCCUAUCGCGACCUGACGAACUCCGAAUGCUCACCAGACAGUUUCAUGGCAGUAAGGGUGCGGGUGCUAAGGUCCGUACCCGAGAGGAGAAGAAUCCAGACCGUCAUCUAAGGUCCCGAAGUCCUGUCUGAGUUAGUCUAACGAAGUAUGUCUCCCGUGACAGCCAGGAUGUUGGCUUGGAAGCAGCCAUUCAUUCAAAGAGUGCGUAACAGCUCACUGGUCGAGGGGACGUGCGUGGAUAAUAAUCGGGUAUCAAGACAGGCACCGAAGGUGCGGGAUAGCAAUUUUAAAAGUAUCGGUAGGGGAGCAUUCCAUGCUGCGCUGAAUGCGUUUGGUGACGGAUGCUGGAGCGCAUGGAAAAGCAAAUGUAGGUAUAAGUAACGUAAAGAGGGGUAGGAUUCCCCUCCGCCGCAAGACUAAGGUUUCCCGGGCGAUGCCAAUCAUCCCGGGGUCAGUCGGGUCCUAAGUUUCAUCCUAAUGGAGAGAGCGAUGGCAGAAACGGUUAAUAUUCCGUUACUAGCGUUGGAGAGCGAUGGGGAGACGAAGUUGUGACACCGUCGCGUGCUGCCGGACAUGCACGUUGAAGAGUGUAGCAGUUGAGGGAUGCAGGCAAAUCCGCAUUCCGAUGCGAACUUGAGAGUACCGUAUCCGCUUUUGCGGAGACGGACAGCACGGGUAACCAUACUUCCUAGAAAAUCCUCUAAGCGUCAAUCUCCUUCGGUACCCGUACCGCAAACGGACACACGUAGUCGAGUUGAGUAUACUAAGGCGUUGAGCGAUUCAUGGUUAAGGAAUUAGGCAAAAUAGCCCCGUAACUUCGGGAUAAGGGGUCCUUGCUUUUUUAGUGAGGCGCAGAGAAUAGGUCCAGGCAACUGUUUACCAAAAACACAGGGCUGUGCUAAUUAGAAAUACGACGUAUACAGCCUGACACCUGCCCGGUGCCGGAAGGUUAAGAGGAGGGCUCAUCCGCCUAUGCGGUGAAGGUCUGAAUUGAAGCCCCGGUAAACGGCGGCCGUAACUAUAACGGUCCUAAGGUAGCGAAAUUCCUUGUCGGGUAAGUUCCGACCUG